AUUCCAUGAUGAGGGCACUUUCGUAAUAACUCUUUGUACCUUUUCUAUGCCUCAUACAAGGACUCAUCAUCCAUUUGUUGAAAGGCAGUGAUCUCGUUCCUCAACUU
rfam:Gossypium hirsutum cultivar TM-1 chromosome 2, whole genome shotgun sequence